AAAAAAAGACCGAACACGAUUCCUGUAUUCGGUCCAGGGAAAUGGCUCUUGGGAGAGAGCCGUGCGCUAAAAGUUGGCAUUAAUGCAGGCUAAGUCGCCUUGCCUCUUAAGAAUAGAUUACCGACGCAGGUUUUCCAGUCCGCAGCAAAAGUGGUCAGAAAAAAGCCGCAUUUAAGGUGACUGUUUAUGCAAAAACAGCAAUAUCCCCUUGAGGUUA
rnacentral:sRNA from 1 species